rnacentral:rRNA from 1 species
UUAAGCGACUAAGCGUACACGGUGGAUGCCCUGGCAGUCAGAGGCGAUGAAGGACGUGCUAAUCUGCGAAAAGCGUCGGUAAGGUGAUAUGAACCGUUACAGCCGGCGAUGUCCGAAUGGGGAAACCCAGUGCAAUUCGUUGCACUAUCGUUAACUGAAUACAUAGGUUAACGAGGCGAACCGGGGGAACUGAAACAUCUAAGUACCCCGAGGAAAAGAAAUCAACCGAGAUUCCCCCAGUAGCGGCGAGCGAACGGGGAGCAGCCCAGAGUCUGAAUCAGCUUGUGUGUUAGUGGAACGGUCUGGAAAGUCCGACGGUACAGGGUGAUAGUCCCGUACACCAAAAUGCACAGGCUGUGAACUCGAAGAGUAGGGCGGGACACGUGGUAUCCUGUCUGAAUAUGGGGGGACCAUCCUCCAAGGCUAAAUACUCCUGACUGACCGAUAGUGAACCAGUACCGUGAGGGAAAGGCGAAAAGAACCCCGGCGAGGGGAGUGAAAAAGAACCUGAAACCGUGUACGUACAAGCAGUGGGAGCACCUUCGGGUGUGACUGCGUACCUUUUGUAUAAUGGGUCAGCGACUUAUAUUCUGUAGCAAGGUUAACCGUAUAGGGGAGCCGCAGGGAAACCGAGUCUUAACUGGGCGUUAAGUUGCAGGGUAUAGACCCGAAACCCGGUGAUCUAGCCAUGGGCAGGUUGAAGGUUGGGUAACACUAACUGGAGGACCGAACCGACUAAUGUUGAAAAAUUAGCGGAUGACUUGUGGCUGGGGGUGAAAGGCCAAUCAAACCGGGAGAUAGCUGGUUCUCCCCGAAAGCUAUUUAGGUAGCGCCUCGUGAACUCAUCUUCGGGGGUAGAGCACUGUUUCGGCUAGGGGGUCAUCCCGACUUACCAACCCGAUGCAAACUACGAAUACCGAAGAAUGUUAUCACGGGAGACACACGGCGGGUGCUAACGUCCGUCGUGAAGAGGGAAACAACCCAGACCGCCAGCUAAGGUCCCAAAGUCAUGGUUAAGUGGGAAACGAUGUGGGAAGGCACAGACAGCCAGGAUGUUGGCUUAGAAGCAGCCAUCAUUUAAAGAAAGCGUAAUAGCUCACUGGUCGAGUCGGCCUGCGCGGAAGAUGUAACGGGGCUAAACCAUGCACCGAAGCUGCGGCAGCGACACUAUGUGUUGUUGGGUAGGGGAGCGUUCUGUAAGCCUGCGAAGGUGUGCUGUGAGGCAUGCUGGAGGUAUCAGAAGUGCGAAUGCUGACAUAAGUAACGAUAAAGCGGGUGAAAAGCCCGCUCGCCGGAAGACCAAGGGUUCCUGUCCAACGUUAAUCGGGGCAGGGUGAGUCGACCCCUAAGGCGAGGCCGAAAGGCGUAGUCGAUGGGAAACAGGUUAAUAUUCCUGUACUUGGUGUUACUGCGAAGGGGGGACGGAGAAGGCUAUGUUAGCCGGGCGACGGUUGUCCCGGUUUAAGCAUGUAGGCUGAUUGUCCAGGCAAAUCCGGAUAAUCAAGGCUGAGGUGUGAUGACGAGGCACUACGGUGCUGAAGUAACAAAUGCCCUGCUUCCAGGAAAAGCCUCUAAGCAUCAGGUAACAUUAAAUCGUACCCCAAACCGACACAGGUGGUCAGGUAGAGAAUACCAAGGCGCUUGAGAGAACUCGGGUGAAGGAACUAGGCAAAAUGGUGCCGUAACUUCGGGAGAAGGCACGCUGGUGUGUAGGUGAAGUCCCUGCGGAUGGAGCUGAGACCAGUCGAAGAUACCAGCUGGCUGCAACUGUUUAUUAAAAACACAGCACUGUGCAAACACGAAAGUGGACGUAUACGGUGUGACGCCUGCCCGGUGCCGGAAGGUUAAUUGAUGGGGUUAUCCGUAAGGAGAAGCUCUUGAUCGAAGCCCCGGUAAACGGCGGCCGUAACUAUAACGGUCCUAAGGUAGCGAAAUUCCUUGUCGGGUAAGUUCCGACCUGCACGAAUGGCGUAAUGAUGGCCAGGCUGUCUCCACCCGAGACUCAGUGAAAUUGAACUCGCUGUGAAGAUGCAGUGUACCCGCGGCAAGACGGAAAGACCCCGUGAACCUUUACUAUAGCUUGACACUGAACAUUGAGCCUUGAUGUGUAGGAUAGGUGGGAGGCUUUGAAGCGUGGACGCCAGUCUGCGUGGAGCCAACCUUGAAAUACCACCCUUUAAUGUUUGAUGUUCUAACGUUGGCCCCUGACCGGGGUUGCGGACAGUGUCUGGUGGGUAGUUUGACUGGGGCGGUCUCCUCCCAAAGCGUAACGGAGGAGCACGAAGGUUAGCUAAUCCUGGUCGGACAUCAGGAGGUUAGUGCAAUGGCAUAAGCUAGCUUGACUGCGAGCGUGACGGCGCGAGCAGGUGCGAAAGCAGGUCAUAGUGAUCCGGUGGUUCUGAAUGGAAGGGCCAUCGCUCAACGGAUAAAAGGUACUCCGGGGAUAACAGGCUGAUACCGCCCAAGAGUUCAUAUCGACGGCGGUGUUUGGCACCUCGAUGUCGGCUCAUCACAUCCUGGGGCUGAAGUAGGUCCCAAGGGUAUGGCUGUUCGCCAUUUAAAGUGGUACGCGAGCUGGGUUUAGAACGUCGUGAGACAGUUCGGUCCCUAUCUGCCGUGGGCGCUGGAGAAUUGAGGGGGGCUGCUCCUAGUACGAGAGGACCGGAGUGGACGCAUCACUGGUGUUCGGGUUGUCAUGCCAAUGGCACUGCCCGGUAGCUAAAUGCGGAAGAGAUAAGUGCUGAAAGCAUCUAAGCACGAAACUUGCCCCGAGAUGAGUUCUCCCUGAGACUUUAAGUCUCCUGAAGGAACGUUGAAGACGACGACGUUGAUAGGCCGGGUGUGUAAGCGCAGCGAUGCGUUGAGCUAACCGGUACUAAUGAACCGUGAGGCUUAACCUU